rnacentral:rRNA from 1 species
AUUGAACGCUGGCGGCAGGCCUAACACAUGCAAGUCGAGCGGAUGAAGGGAGCUUGCUCCUGGAUUCAGCGGCGGACGGGUGAGUAAUGCCUAGGAAUCUGCCUGGUAGUGGGGGAUAACGUCCGGAAACGGGCGCUAAUACCGCAUACGUCCUGAGGGAGAAAGUGGGGGAUCUUCCGACCUCACGCCAUCAGAUGAGCCUAGGUCGGAUUAGCUAGUUGGUGGGGUAAAGGCCUACCAAGGCGACGAUCCGUAACUGGUCUGAGAGGAUGAUCAGUCACACGGGAACUGAGACACGGUCCAGACUACUAAGGGAGGCAGCAGUGGGGAAUAUUGGACAGUGGGCGAAAGCCUGAUACAGCCAUGGCGCGUGUGUGAAGAAGGUCUUCGGAUUGUAAAGAACUUUAAGUUGGGAGGAAGGGCAGUAAGUUAAUACCUUGCUGUUUUGACGUUACCAACAGAAUAAGCACCGGCUAACUUCGUG